UCUCUGGCGUAGUUGGUAGCGCCUUGAAUUCGAAAUUAUAAGUCCUAGGUUCAAGUCCCGGUCAGGAGAA